rfam:Geobacter sp. OR-1 DNA, contig: OR1_contig000009.
GGGGGUGUAAAGGUUUCGACGGGGGUAAUAAGCAAAGGUUGCAUGCCGAGGUUCGGGUGGCUCGUUAAACAAUCCGAGCGUUUAUAGACGCCGAUAACUAUAAUUACGCUGUAGCAGCUUAAUAACCUGCUACCGAUCUGCCGACUCACUCCCGCUGGGAAGGACAGAUCGUCAUUAAUGUGGGAUAGCCGAUGAGAGAGCCUGCGUAUCUGAAGCGAAACCUUAGCAGGACCGCUUCCUGAAAAUCCCGGCCAGUGGAGCUUCAGGUGGUUAAAUCAAAAACUGGUACAAGCAUGUAGACGCCUUCUGUGGAUGACUUUCGGACCCGGGUUCGAUUCCCGGCACCUCCACCA